UGUACUCUUUCUUUAACAACCCGAAAUUUGACGUCCAUAUGUUUUUCUUUCGUCAAACUACUGUUGUUAUUAACAUAAAGGAAUCGGAGUCGGUAUACCCGAUAAUCUCAAACUGGUCCGAUCUCCGAUAUGUAAGCAUGUAAUCCUUUGUUCUCUGUAAGAUCGCUUAGAUAUCUGCCUAACAUCCCAACAAUGUAUGUUAUAUCAGGUCGUGUACAUACCUGAGC
rnacentral:lncRNA from 1 species